rnacentral:lncRNA from 1 species
AAAUUUGUAAACCGAACCAUUUGGAUACCUUUACGAAAUUAUUGUAAUAAGAAAUUUGACAAACACUGUGGUGUACAAUCUGCGGUCGCACAUGCUCCAAACAUUUUGCUGCUGCAAACUCUGGUGCAAAGUGCAAACAAAAUAAUAUAUUCUGAGUGUUACUAUUUUGAUGUAGAACAAUAUAUGGAGAUAGAUCAUUGUUGAAAAUAAUUGAUAAAAAUAAGGGAAUAAUGCAUUUCUUUCAAUUCCUAAUUUUCUAUGCACGGGAAGCUUAAAUCCUCCAGUUUCACAUUAACUCAGGUACAAUUAGAUAGUUUCAG